GAGGAAGGGGGGCCUAUACAUGCAAGUCGAGCGGACCGACGGGAGCUUGCUCCCUUAGGUCAGCGGCGGACGGGUGAGUAACACGUGGGUAACCUGCCUGUAAGACUGGGAUAACUCCGGGAAACCGGGGCUAAUACCGGAUGCUUGAUUGAACCGCAUGGUUCAAUCAUAAAAGGUGGCUUUUAGCUACCACUUACAGAUGGACCCGCGGCGCAUUAGCUAGUUGGUGAGGUAACGGCUCACCAAGGCGACGAUGCGUAGCCGACCUGAGAGGGUGAUCGGCCACACUGGGACUGAGACACGGCCCAGACUCCUACGGGAGGCAGCAGUAGGGAAUCUUCCGCAAUGGACGAAAGUCUGACGGAGCAACGCCGCGUGAGUGAUGAAGGUUUUCGGAUCGUAAAACUCUGUUGUUAGGGAAGAACAAGUACCGUUCGAAUAGGGCGGUACCUUGACGGUACCUAACCAGAAAGCCACGGCUAACUACGUGCCAGCAGCCGCGGUAAUACGUAGGUGGCAAGCGUUGUCCGGAAUUAUUGGGCGUAAAGCGCGCGCAGGCGGUUUCUUAAGUCUGAUGUGAAAGCCCCCGGCUCAACCGGGGAGGGUCAUUGGAAACUGGGGAACUUGAGUGCAGAAGAGGAGAGUGGAAUUCCACGUGUAGCGGUGAAAUGCGUAGAGAUGUGGAGGAACACCAGUGGCGAAGGCGACUCUCUGGUCUGUAACUGACGCUGAGGCGCGAAAGCGUGGGGAGCGAACAGGAUUAGAUACCCUGGUAGUCCACGCCGUAAACGAUGAGUGCUAAGUGUUAGAGGGUUUCCGCCCUUUAGUGCUGCAGCAAACGCAUUAAGCACUCCGCCUGGGGAGUACGGUCGCAAGACUGAAACUCAAAGGAAUUGACGGGGGCCCGCACAAGCGGUGGAGCAUGUGGUUUAAUUCGAAGCAACGCGAAG
rnacentral:rRNA from 1 species